UUUUGCAAUCAAAACUGGUCUUAUGGUCUCUGGGUUUACACGAAAGAGCAAUGAAAGACAUUAUACUUUAGAGCAGUAGUUCUCAAAGUGGUGGUCCCCAGAUGCACAGCAUCGGCAUCCCCUGGGAACUUAUAGAAACACAAAACCUCAGGGCCCACCGGAAGCCUACUGAAUCAGACAUUCUGGAGAUAAGGCCCUGGCAUCCUGUUUUAACAAGGCUUAUGGGUGAUUCUGAUGCAUUUUCUGUUGAAGUCUGAAAUCCACUGACCCAGAGGUUAAGACCUGAUUUUGAAGUCAAAGAAACUUGCAUUUGAACGCUGACUUCACUGCUCACUCCUUGAUCAAACAGGUAAAUACUACAUAGCCACGAUGGCCCUGAUCACAGCCUCCACUGCGUUGACCAUCAUGGUGAUGAAUAUCCACUUCUGUGGGGCCGAGGCCCGGCCGGUGCCACACUGGGCCAGG
rnacentral:lncRNA from 10 species